GAUGAACGCUGGCGGCGUGCCUAAUACAUGCAAGUAGAACGCUAAAGGAAGGAGCUUGCUCUUUCCGGAUGAGUUGCGAACGGGCGAGUAACGCGUAGGUAACCUGCCUGGUAGCGGGGGAUAACUAUUGGAAACGGUAGCUAAUACCGCAUAACAGGAGAUGUUGCAUGAUACCUACUUAAAAGGUGCAAUUGCAGCACUACCAGACGGACCUCCGUUUUAUUAGCUAGGUGGUGAGGUAACGGCCCACCAAGGCGGAGAUACCUAGCCGAGCUGAGAGGGUGGUCGGCCCACCUGGGACUGGGACCACGCCCCGACCUCCUACGGGGGCAGCCGUAGGGGAACUUCGGACAUGGGCGGAAGUCUGGACGCGGCACGCCCCGUGGGUGAAGAAGGUUUUCGGGUCGUAAAGCUCUGUUGUUAGGGAAGAAAGAGUGUCAGAGUGGAAAGUUCACAUUGUGACGGUAUCUUACCAGAAAGCGCCGGCUAACUACGUG
rnacentral:rRNA from 1 species